UAAGCUAUUAUAGAUGAUCAAAGAUAUAAAAUUUUGUCUUCUGACACUAGAACCGUUUUGUGAACAUUUAGUUGUCAUUUAACUUCACAGUGUAUUUUUGAUGUGCAAUCCAUUUUCAAGGUAUUCCAUGCCUGUCGGAGAAAGAUAAAAUUGUGGCGGUGUUAUGUGGUCUAUCAUGGCGGAAUAUAUUCACAGACGACCCUGACAACCAAGUAUUGUUGAACUCUCAUCCAAUGGUUGAUGGAUUGAACAGAAAAGAUGCAGCAGAGAAAGUCAUGUCAUUAGCAAGG